GUGUGUGUGUGUAUAUGUGUGUGUGUGUGUGUGUAUAUAUAUAUAUAUAUAUAUAUAUAUUGUGUGUGUAUAUAUACACACACACACACACACACACACUG